rnacentral:rRNA from 1 species
GGGGUACUCGAGCGGCGAACGGGUGAGUAACACGUGAGCAACCUGCCCUAGGCUUUGGGAUAACCCUCGGAAACGGGGGCUAAUACCGAAUAUGACCUCGCAUCGCAUGGUGUGUGGUGGAAAGUUUUUCGGCCUGGGAUGGGCUCGCGGCCUAUCAGCUUGUUGGUGGGGUGAUGGCCUACCAAGGCGACGACGGGUAGCCGGCCUGAGAGGGCGACCGGCCACACUGGGACUGAGACACGGCCCAGACUCCUACGGGAGGCAGCAGUGGGGAAUAUUGCACAAUGGGCGGAAGCCUGAUGCAGCGACGCCGCGUGAGGGAUGACGGCCUUCGGGUUGUAAACCUCUUUCAGCAGGGACGAAGCGUAAGUGACGGUACCUGCAGAAGAAGCGCCGGCCAACUACGUGCCAGCAGCCGCGGUAAGACGUAGGGCGCGAGCGUUGUCCGGAUUUAUUGGGCGUAAAGAGCUCGUAGGCGGCUUGUCGCGUCGACCGUGAAAACCUGGGGCUCAACCCCAGGCCUGCGGUCGAUACGGGCAGGCUAGAGUUCGGUAGGGGAGACUGGAAUUCCUGGUGUAGCGGUGAAAUGCGCAGAUAUCA